rnacentral:rRNA from 1 species
UUGAAAGGGAAACGAUUGAAGUCAGUCAUACCAACGGGAAAAUCAACCUCUUGAGCUCGGUCUCGUGGGUUUUUGAAGAGUUUCAAAAGCCUUCGGAUUCGCGGGAUUGGGAUCUCCUGGCGUACUUUUUCGUACGGUUAGUCAACAUCGNNUUUGAAUGUCNUAAAAUGACUGGAGNAAUGUAGCUUCGAUCUCGUAUUGAAGUGUUAUANNCNUNGGGUAGAUGUGAUGUUUGAGACCGAGGAUUGCAACGGAUACCCUUCAGGGCUAUUNNUCUGANNNCUGAUACGUUGCCUUGAUGUUGAAAGCUCGCUUAUGAUGUUAGGGUAUUACGGUCAGAAGGUUAGAGCGAAUACAUUCGUUAAGGAUGUUGACGUA